ACUGUAAGAUUUGUUAUUUGUAUUGUUGUUUUAUUUAAUUUUCUCUUUGACUCAUACCUUCUAGGUAGUGAAUACUCCAACUCUGGUGCGGUAAAAGUAGGACGCCUCAGUUUCUGCGCAAUGAAGAUGUGACACCUGAGAUCCUGAGAGAUUAACUUUCUUCAAUUAACACUGAUAGUGAGGUCAGCCAAAUUCAAGGACCUAUUCUUGGGGAAUAAGGCCUCUAAAGACAUUAAGGGUCCCAUUCUGUCACCCAGGCUAGAGUGCUGAGGCGUGAUCUUGGCUUACUGCAGACUCGACUUCCCAAGCUCAGGUGAUCCUCUCACCUCAGCCUCCU
rnacentral:lncRNA from 13 species